rnacentral:rRNA from 1 species
AUUGAACGCUGGCGGCAGGCUUAACACAUGCAAGUCGAGCGGAGUGAUGGUGCUUGCACUAUCACUUAGCGGCGGACGGGUGAGUAAUGCUUAGGAAUCUGCCUAUUAGUGGGGGACAACAUCUCGAAAGGGAUGCUAAUACCGCAUACGUCCUACGGGAGAAAGCAGGGGAUCACUUGUGACCUUGCGCUAAUAGCUGAGCCUAAGUCGGAUUAGCGAGUUGGUGGGGUAAAGGCCUACCAAGGCGACGAUCUGUAGCGGGUCUGAGAGGAUGAUCCGCCACACUGGGACUGAGACACGGCCCAGACUCCUACGGGAGGCAGCAGUGGGGAAUAUUGGACAAUGGGGGGAACCCUGAUUCAGCCAUGCCGCGUGUGUGAAGAAGGCCUUAUGGUUGUAAAGCACUUUAAGCGAGGAGGAGGCUCUUUUGGUUAAUACCCAAGAUGAGUGGACGUUACUCGCAGAAUAAGCACCGGCUAACUCUGUGCCAGCCGCCGCCGUAA